rnacentral:rRNA from 1 species
GACGAACGCUGGCGGCGUGCUUAACACAUGCAAGUCGAACGGAAAGGCCUCUUUCGGGGGUACUCGAGUGGCGAACGGGUGAGUAACACGUGAGUAACCUGCCCUUGACUUUGGGAUAACUUCAGGAAACUGGGCUAAUACCGGAUAGGAGCUCCUGCUGCAUGGUGGGGGUUGGAAAGUUUCGGCGGUUGGGGAUGGACUCGCGGCUUAUCAGCUUGUUGGUGGGGUAGUGGCUUACCAAGGCUUUGACGGGUAGCCGGCCUGAGAGGGUGACCGGCCACAUUGGGACUGAGAUACGGCCCAGACUCCUACGGGAGGCAGCAGUGGGAAUAUUGGCACAAAUGGGUGGAAGCCUGAUGCAGCAACGCCGUGUGCGGGAAUGACGGCCUCGGUUGUAACGCUUCGCUCAUGACGAGACUUCGUGUGACGGUAGUGGU